UACGAAGGGUGCAAGCGUUACUCGGAAUCACUGGGCGUAAAGCGUGCGUAGGCGGUUGGUUAAGUCUGCUGUGAAAGCCCUGGGCUCAACCUGGGAACUGCAGUGGAUACUGGCCAGCUAGAGUGUGAUAGAGGAUGGUGGAAUUCCCGGUGUAGCGGUGAAAUGCGUAGAGAUCGGGAGGAACACCAGUGGCGAAGGCGGCUCACUGGACCGGAACUGACGCUGAGGCGCGAAAGCGUGGGGAGCAAACAGG
rnacentral:rRNA from 1 species